AGGGCAUCAGGACAAUGUAUAGUAGAAGUGGUUACAGUUGAGCAUUCUUGUCUCAGCCCUAGUUUCAGGAGGAAGUUCCAGAAUUUCACUGUCAGGUCGUUGGAUAGGUUCUUUAUGAAAGUUGCACGAAAAGAAAAAGAUUCCAUUGAGCUAAUAGAUACUAGUGGUUCCAUUAGCGGUAGUGAAAGUCCUCCUACACGAUAACCCUCCUCUCGCUUGUCUCUCUCACACCAGCCACGAAGGUUUUCAAAGAUCAGCCUCUGAAAUAGGAGCACGGCCCCAGGGGAAAUGCAGCUUACUCAUCAAGCCUCAGGUAGGAAAGCACCAACAAGUAAUGACUUCCCAGCCGUGGGAUGCUUCUAGAGUCGAUAUAUUUCCAGUCUAAUCGAGACAGCAACCAAAGUGAUCU